rnacentral:lncRNA from 1 species
ACAUACAGAAAUGAGUUCUCUUAGAUUGAAAGGUGACACAAAUAAUCUUACAAUUAAGCAAGUGAAGAGGAGACGGAGAGCUGUUUGUGUUUUUGAUGAUGAUGAAGAUGAUGAACCCAAAACUCCUGUUCACGGCAUAGCUGCUAAAGAUAUUAAAUCACCUUUUGUUUCAGAGGGUAUGAAGAGCAGUGAUACAUUGCUAGAGAACACUGAUGUUGCUCAGCUGGCUACCAAAAAACCUAGUGCACAUGAGGAUAUCCAUUUUAAAGAAUCCACUUCUGAAUUACAUAAUGACAGUUUGUUAGCUGGGCAUCCUCAAAAAGAGACUGAUGAAGUUAUUCCUGUUCAAUUACCUCACAGUCCUGGGAGAUUAGGUUCAGAGCAACUGCCUCCCAAGGUGGUGGAUAAAUUGAGCUCCAUCUCUCCUGUAAAUUCAC